GCCGCCCCAUCGGACUGCGCUUCUCUCCGUGCGCUCCUCCAACAGGAGAGCUGCCUCUGCCCCCUCCCACCCGCUCCACACCGCGUGUCCCAGGAGGCAGCGUGUUAACAAUGUCUGGCUGUUGGAGAUGGACUAAUGUGGUUUAAGGAGGAUGCUUAAUCCUCCCACCACUGUGGCUGUUGUUUAUGAAGGUGCCAAGCAACAUCUCUUUUCUGCCUCCAAUUUAAAAAAAAAUACAAACCCAAGGUGAAGGCACUUUGGCUUGCUGGGAAUCUGAAAGCGAGAAAAAGCAGGAAGAAGAAGAAUCAAGUGGUGCUCGCAGCCCUCAGGCUUUUUUUCCACGGCAUCAAUGCAUCGAUGCCACUUCCUUACGCUAUUCAAGCCAUUGCUCCAGUGACCAGGCUGCCCCCUGGGUGAUGCACACAACCAAAAAAACAGCCGAGUGAUGCACUAAGUAGCUAAAUAUGCUAACAUUACAAAACACAUUAGAUAAAAGCCUGUUCUCCCUGCUGUA